rnacentral:rRNA from 1 species
AUCGGAACGUACCCUCUCGUUGGGAAUAGCCACGGGAAACUGUGAUUAAUGCCCAAUAAUCUCGAGAGAGCAAAGGUCCGCCGCGGGGGGAGCGGCCGAUGUGAUAUCAGGUAGUUGGCGGGGUAACGGCCCACCAAGCCAUAGACGUCUAGGGGGUGUGAGAGCAUGGCCCCCACCACUGGGACUGAGACACUGCCCAGACACCUACGGGUGGCUGCAGUCGAGAAUCUUCGGCAAUGGGCGCAAGCCUGACCGAGCGACGCCGCGUGCGGGAUGAAGGCCCUUGGGUUGUAAACCGCUGUCGGGGGGGAUGAAACCGUAAGGUUGACAGAGCCCCGGAGGAAGCACGGGCUAAGUUCGUGCCAGCAGCCGCGGUAAUACGAACUGUGCGAACGUUAUUCGGAAUCACUGGGCUUACAGGGUGCGUAGGCGGCGAUGCAAGUCAGGUGUGAAAGCCCACGGCUCAACCGUGGAACAGCGCUUGAAACUGCAUUGCUU